UGUCUUGGCUCAUCGGAGGCGGCUGGUCGCCAGGACUCCUCUCAGCCUGCUCCCCGAAGACCCCUGGCUCCACAGAAACAGGAAAUGAACUGUGGGAUCUGUCCAUCAACCGUGAACCUGAGUUACACAGGGGAACUGGAGGGGAGUGCUGAGGCCUGAUUGGGUGGAAAACCAUCUGGGAGGCUCCACCUCCCCCUGUCGUCUGCCAGCCGCCAUGCCAAUCCAAACACACAAGGCCUCUCCAGACUGAUCCAGAGCAUGAUUUCAGAAAGAAGAGAACCCUUUCCCCUCUUUUUCCCCCUUCUUGUGCCCAAAACUCUCCCACCCUCUCCUCCCUCCCUCUCCCUCGGUCUCACCGUGUCUUCCAAAGAGUAACGCUUAGGGAGAGGAGAACUGAGUAAAGACAGAAGGGAGAGGGAAGGAAAGGGAGGGAAAGGAUGGAUGGAUAGAAGAAAAGAGGGAGGGGGCCGAGGUUUACUCUAUCCAGCAUGGGCUGCUAAAUUGGUUUCAGAGCAGCAGUUGGACUCCAGGGAUGCACGGCACACACUACCGACUAGCUGUGUUUGCUUUUGUGGGGUGUAGGAAAUCUGAUCUCCGUCCAUGUAGCCAACCCACAUCCCACCCAUCAGUACCACCAAGAAUGAAGGGAGCUAUGAGGAGAGUUGCUAAAACAGGUAUCAUUGAUACUUUAGGAAUAAAAAUAACAAACAUUAACUUCGAGUGUGGAAAAGUGCAUAUUUCACGAAAAUGUUGAAUGGUUACAUCAUACCGCAUGAGCCGUCUUUGUUACAGGCAGGAAGUCACAUGUCUGUGGAAGGUAGGAUGACAUGUUGAGUCCCCGCUGAGCCCAAGGCUGAAGGCUCUCUAAAUAGGUUUAAUUGGGCCAGGCCUUACACUACCAUGCAGACAUUGCCAGACAGACACAGGGCUACAGGGAAAAGCAGAACACCCAAGAGACCUCAGGCACCACGUCCUCGUAUCUGACUUGGUGCUGCUGUGUGGCUCAUUUGUUGUACUCACAGUUUAAGGACACACUGCUUACACAUUGCUAUGUCCAAGGGAGCUGUG